rnacentral:rRNA from 1 species
CCUACGGGCGGCAGCAGUGGGGAAUAUUGCACAAUGGGCGCAAGCCUGAUGCAGCCAUGCCGCGUGUGUGAAGAAGGCCUUCGGGUUGUAAAGCACUCUCAGCGGGGAGGAAGGCGGUGAGGUUAAUAACCUCAUCGAUUGACGUUACCCGCGGAAGAAGCACCGGCUAACUCCGUGCCAGCAGCCGCGGUAAUACGGAGGGUGCAAGCGUUAAUCGGAAUUACUGGGCGUAAAGCGCACGCAGGCGGUCUGUCAAGUCGGAUGUGAAAUCCCCGGGCUCAACCUGGGAACUGCAUUCGAAACUGGCAGGCUAGAGUCUUGUAGAGGGGGGUAGAAUUCCAGGUGUAGCGGUGAAAUGCGUAGAGAUCUGGAGGAAUACCGGUGGCGAAGGCGGCCCCCUGGACAAAGACUGACGCUCAGGUGCGAAAGCGUGGGGAGCAAACAGGAUUAGAUACCCCGGUAGUC